rnacentral:rRNA from 1 species
GAUGAACGCUGGCGGCGUGCCUAAUACAUGCAAGUCGAGCGAACGGACGAGAAGCUUGCUUCUCUGAUGUUAGCGGCGGACGGGUGAGUAACACGUGGAUAACCUACCUAUAAGACUGGGAUAACUUCGGGAAACCGGAGCUAAUACCGGAUAAUAUUUUGAACCGCAUGGUUCAAAAGUGAAAGACGGUCUUGCUGUCACCUAUAGAUGGAUCCGCGCUGCAUUAGCUAGCUGGUAAGGUAACGGCUUACCAAGGCAACGAUGCAUAGACGACCUGAGAGGGUGAUCGGCCACCCGGGAACUGAGACACGGUCCAGACUCCUACGCGAGGCAGCAGUAGGGAAUCUUCCGCAAUGGGCGAAAGCCUGACGGAGCAACGCCGCGUGAGUGAUGAAGGUCUUCGGAUCGGAAAACUCUGUUAUUAGGGAAGAACAUAUGUGUAAGUACCUGUGCCCAUCUUGACGGUACCUAAUCAGAAAGCCACGGCUAACUACGUG